rnacentral:rRNA from 1 species
AGGAAAAGAACCCUCGUACCUGUCGCCACACGGAGGGGACGGUGUCGCCGUGUCGGCGCCACGGCACGGAGGCGAACCGUAGGCGACUUCUCAGUUCAGUUUUUCUCCGGCGGCGCCUCUGCCGGAGGUAGCAACGAGGACAGCAAGAGAUGUCAAGGACCUACAAUGCCAAAUUGGCCGCGGCACAACAACAGGCUGAAAGCCGAGUCAGGGAUCAUCGACAGACACGGUUUUCAGUAAAUUACAUCAUUCAAAACCUUAUUACAAACGCUGGUUGACAGAGGCUGAAAGGUUGGUAAUUGCCCAAUUGUAAUAUUGUAAUUCUGCUUGACCGCUUAAACAGGAUGUGCCUGUGUUUCCGCCUUUGCCUACAUAUCCGAGACGGAGUGAAUUGAAGAAGCUGCGUUUUCUCAGACAUUUGAGAUACGCUCAGCUGCAAUCUAUGGGUGUAAAUGGCUUUGCCUUCGGCAGACCUGGUGUACCAGUUACCUCACCAUAUGCUGCUAAGCACACUUAUCAUAUUGUGCAGCUACAAAAAGUUAAAGAUGGUCCUAUUGUCCAGUUUGCUUGCCGUGAAGCUGAUGGUUAUACCGGUGGAUGGAGAGUCCUCAUGACUAAAAAUGAUUCAGAAACAGAACCGUGGUUUGAAUGCAAAGGUUUUCACCUUCCAAGGGAUAUCUUCGUCAAUGUUGUGAAGACAGAGUACAGCUACAGCUAUCAAAACAUCAAUUCAAUUGGAUUAUCCAAGGCAAUCUUAUCUGUGAUAUUUGACUUCUUCGUAUCUACUCGCGGUGUGAACCCACUGAUCAUAACUGCUGAGGGAACAGCUUGCCUGGAUGCUGUCUUUUUCAUUCUUGGUGAAGGGCAACGGUUUCUGCAUUUUCUAAAGCUCACAGGGCGUGGCCUCAGGAGCAUUAAACCUGUCUUUCCCAGUCAAGACGAGGCAACGGUGGUAACACUCUGGCGUCAAGUUUGUGAGGCAAUAUUAGCAAUGUGCCUGGCAUUAGUUGAGAUGCACAAGGGGCUUGGGACUGAACCUAGGGAUAUCCGGCGCUUUGGAUACACUUACAGGACAGCUCGUGGUAAACUGGUGCAACUAAACCAGAAAUGCAACGGAUUGCUUCGUUUCAUUGGUCCGAACACAGAAAUCAACCUUGAAUAUCUUUGCGGAGGCGACAUGUUGCUUCUUAAGCACCGUCCAGAAUAUGUUAACAAGAUUCUCAUGAGAUUGGAUGGUUUCACAGGAGUUUUUUCUGGUACGAAGGCGCAAGGUGCGGAGGGGGAAACUUCUGGUGAGCAAGGUGCAGAGGGGGAAGCCUCUGGUGACUCAGAUAUGCAGUUGUAGUUUGCAAAAAGAAACGGGACCAUCCAGGACUUGAGGGAUGUAUGAAAUUCUGAAGCAAUUUUGACGUGUCAGCUUUCUAUAGCAAUUGUGAAAGGCGACUUAGUUUUGGUUCUGAUCUGGAAUAUUAAAUAGUGAUCUAAUCCCUGCUAUUUUUGUAAAUUUUGGUAGCUGUUUUUUCUAACUCAGCACGGAAUGAUAUUGAGUGCCUGCUAUUGAGCAGCAGCUGUUUAAACUUAACAACGUGGAAUGAUCUUGUAUGGUGACAUUCCCCUUUUUCAGUCUAUAAUCCCAUAGUGUUAGGGGACAUGGAGUAUAUGGUCACGAGCUCAUAUGGUCUGGUUAUCAGCACCAUUGAAUGUUGUAUGGGGAUCUGUUCUGUAGAGCUUUUCAGGCCAAUA